rnacentral:rRNA from 1 species
GGCGAACGCUGGCGGCGUGCUUAACACAUGCAAGUCGAACGGAAAGGCCCUGCUUUUGUGGGGUGCUCGAGUGGCGAACGGGUGAGUAACACGUGAGUAACCUGCCCUUGACUUUGGGAUAACUUCAGGAAACUGGGGCUAAUACCGGAUAGGAGCUCCUGCUGCAUGGUGGGGGUUGGAAAGUUUCGGCGGUUGGGGAUGGACUCGCGGCUUAUCAGCUUGUUGGUGGGGUAGUGGCUUACCAAGGCUUUGACGGGUAGCCGGCCUGAGAGGGUGACCGGCCACAUUGGGACUGAGAUACGGCCCAGACUCCUACGGGAGGCAGCAGUGGGGAAUAUUGCACAAUGGGCGGAAGCCUGAUGCAGCAACGCCGCGUGCGGGAUGACGGCCUUCGGGUUGUAAGCCGCUUUCGCCUGUGACGAAGCGUGAGUGACGGUAAUGGGUAAAGAAGCACCGGCUAACUACGUG